rnacentral:rRNA from 1 species
UGGAUACGAGAUGCUACGGCGUCGAAGCAGUCUAUGUCAUACUUCCAAGAAAAGCUUGCACUGUCAUAAACAAAUAAUGCCUGUACCAUAACCGACACAGGUGGGUAGGUAGAGUAUACUAAGGGGCGCGAGAUAACUCUCUCCAAGGAACUCGGCAAAAUGACUCCGUAACUUCGGGAGAAGGAGUGCCUUAUUUAUAAGGUUGCAAUAACAAGAUCCAAGCAACUGUUUACCAAAAACACAGGUCUCCGCUAAGUCGUAAGACGAUGUAUGGGGGCUGACGCCUGCCCAGUGCCAGAAGGUUAAAGAAGUUGGUUAGCAUCCGCGAAGCUGAUAACUGAAGCCCUGGUGAACGGCGGCCGUAACAAUAACGGUCCUAAGGUAGCGAAAUUCCUUGUCGGGUAAGUUCCGACCCGCACGAAAGGCGUAAUGAUUUGGAUACUGUCUCGGAGAGGGGCUCGGUGAAAUAGACUUGUCUGUGAAGAUGCGGACUACCUGCACCAGGACAGAAAGACCCUAUGAAGCUUUACUGUAACCUGAAAUUGAAAUUGGACUUUACUUGCGCAGUAUAGGUGGGAGGCGUUGAGAAUAUUCUUGCGGGAUUAUUGGAGCCAUCAGUGAGAUACCACUCUUGUAAUGUUAGAUUUCUAACUUUGUAUCAUUAUCUGGUCAAAGAACAGUUUCAGGCGGGCAGUUUGACUGGGGCGGUCGCCUCCUAAACGGUAACGGAGGCGCACAAAGGUUUCCUCUGAACGGGUAGAAAUCGUAUCUAGAGUGUAAAGGCAUAAGGAAGCUUGACUGUGAGACCUACAAGUCGAGCAGGGACGAAAGUCGGUCUUAGUGAUCUGACGGUGCUGAGUGGAAAGGCCGUCACUCAACGGAUAAAAGUUACUCUAAGGAUAACAGGCUGAUCUCCCCCAAGAGUUCACAUCGACGGGGAGGUUUGGCACCUCGAUGUCGGCUCAUCGCAUCCUGGGGCGGUAGUACGUCCCAAGGGUUGGGCUGUUCGCCCAUGAAAGCGGUACGCGAGCUGGGUUCAGAACGUCGUGAGACAGUUCGGUCCAUAUCCGGUGUAGGCGUUAGAAUAUUGAGAGGAGCCUUCUUUAGUACGAGAGGACCGAGAAGGACAUACCUCUGGUGUACCAGUUAUCGUGCCAACGGUAAACGCUGGGUAGCUAUGUGUGGAGUGGAUAACCGCUGAAAGCAUCUAAGUGGGAAGCCCACCUCAAGAUAAGUAUUCUG